CCACCGGGCGCUUUCAUCGCCUUUGUCAUUAUCACUGUCGUUAAGGUUUUGGUGAUAAUUGCCAUACCAGCAGCUUUUGUUGGAUAUCGAAGAAAAGGAAAACAUGCAAGUUUGGACACGGAAAAAACAGUGUACGAAAAUGUUCAGGUCAUAAGCGUGAACACCACUUAAGGAUCAGAAUUCAACCGAUGAUGCUGCAGCUCCU